rnacentral:rRNA from 1 species
CCAUGGCCGCGGGAUUUGCAGUCGAGCGGUAGCACAGAGAGCUUGCUCUCGGGUGACGAGCGGCGGACGGGUGAGUAAUGUCUGGGAAACUGCCUGAUGGAGGGGGAUAACUACUGGAAACGGUAGCUAAUACCGCAUAACGUCGCAAGACCAAAGUGGGGGACCUUCGGGCCUCAUGCCAUCAGAUGUGCCCAGAUGGGAUUAGCUGGUAGGUGGGGUAACGGCUCACCUAGGCGACGAUCCCUAGCUGGUCUGAGAGGAUGACCAGCCACACUGGAACUGAGACACGGUCCAGACUCCUACGGGAGGCAGCAGUGGGGAAUAUUGCACAAUGGGCGCAAGCCUGAUGCAGCCAUGCCGCGUGUGUGAAGAAGGCCUUCGGGUUGUAAAGCACUUUCAGCGGGGAGGAAGGCGGUGAGGUUAAUAACCUCAUCGAUUGACGUUACCCGCAGAAGAAGCACCGGCUAACUCCGUGCCAGCAGCCGCGGUAAUACGGAGGGUGCAAGCGUUAAUCGGAAUUACUGGGCGUAAAGCGCACGCAGGCGGUCUGUCAAGUCGGAUGUGA